GCUCGGGGAGAAGAGCAAGAAUCCCCUUUUAGAAAGCAAUUACACAUGCAAGUCACAUCCGUUCAAGCCAAACUGUGAGCCAGCUCCCGUAGCUGAUAAAACAGCUCUGCAGUACUCCAGGAGGGAGAAAGAUAAUACAGGAUUUCUAGGCCAGCUCCUUGGCGGAUGUGAAUGGGUAUCAGAAUGGUGAAGAAAGUGCAGUGGCACCGAUUUCCACCAGAGGAGGAUCCGGCCUGUUUAAUCUGUUUGGAACUACCACUCAACUUCAAAGUGUAAUGGAACCACACAGCAGUGUUUGCAGAGUCCCUGAGCUGGGUCCAGGCACUCUUUGAGGCACAGAUUACAGAGCUGCUGGAGGACUAGCUGGCUCCAGCACAGAGCCUGAGGGAUGCAGCAGGGACCAACCCCGUGGGAGAUACCUGCAUGUCAGACCAGGCAAGAAAGUUGAAACUAGCAUCAAAUAAAGGUGUUCUAGGCACUGCACCCCACCACCCCACACGCUGGAGAGCACCACCAUUGCCUUGAAGAGCUUAGAAUCUCAGCAUUUGCCCCAGUGACAACUUGAUGAACAUCACUAAAUGCAUUUCACAUGGGCAACGAAUUGGGUCACUCGUUCGUACUGGUCUGGAUUUGAGUGGACACCGUAUAGGAGCAUCGUAUAGCCGAUCUGCAAACCAGCCCCAGUUUUUCUAUUUAUCUUAAUGCAGAAGACAUUCUAAAAAAAACCCAACAGCUGUUUCAUUGAUCUGACCUUUUCUGAGAAACAGUCAUUGAAGCCUGAAGAAUAAAUUAUAGGCGCAGUCUUGCCUGGAAUGGGGAAGGGCUGGGGGGUGAGUGAGCUGGUGGGCCUUUUGUAUCACUGAUUUCUAUGAUGAUUUUACAGUCAUGGUCUGCGAAGGCCACCAGUGUGUUGCAAAAUGUCCAUCCAACCAUCCAUAGUGACACCUUGGCGCUCGUCAUUUAGAUCUCUGCAUCACAUUGUCACUGUUCCUGCCUUUCUCCCCAUGUUGAGGCUAAUUUCUCCAUUGAUUGGUUCUUACUUGGUUUAAAAAUAGCCAGUUUGUAGCACAGAAGGGUAAAAUUAGCAGCUCGCACUUGCUUUUACACAGAUUUACAGCUGUUAUGGAAGAGAGAUGUCGGGUCUCUCACAGCCUCACUACUUGCACUAAACUGCUACCUUCUUCCGGAGCCUUCUCCCCAAGUCCUGAUGAUUUGACUUCAUAUUGGCUUCUUUCAUCUUAAGACUGAUUUUAAAACAUACUGUGAUGCUCUGUACCUCGGGGGAACACCCAGCACCCCCAUGUUCAUCCUUGUAAAAUGAUUGUGUGGUAUCUAAUUCUAAGUUUGUCAUGUCGAGUGUCUUUGAAAGGCUCAUGAUGCACUGAGCAUUGUUGUUACAGUGACGUUAUAGUAAUGUUAUCAAUUAUAAUUUCCUGUAUGUAGUUAUGAAGCUGAAAAUGUAUCCUCAUGGCUUAAAAUAAAUCCAAGCAAAAAUUCUCCAAGAGCGGAGAGGCAGUUCACACCUCAUCAGGGAAGGUAUGGGACAAAUCCAGCCCAGCCUCACAGGAACAAAGGGCGCUGGCCUAGGCAGCAAUAAAAGGAUCUGUUGGACUC